rnacentral:rRNA from 1 species
AUACAGAGGGUGCAAGCGUUAAUCGGAAUUACUGGGCGUAAAGCGCACGCAGGCGGAUAACUAAGUCGGAUGUGAAAGCCCUGGGCUUAACCUGGGAACUGCAUUCGAUACUGGUUGUCUAGAGUAUGGUAGAGGGUAGUGGAAUUUCCGGUGUAGCGGUGAAAUGCGUAGAUAUCGGAAAGAACACCAGUGGCGAAGGCGGCUACCUGGACCAAUACUGACGCUCAGGUGCGAAAGCGUGGGGAGCAAACAGGAUUAGAGACCCUGGUAGUCCACGCCGUCAACGAUGAGAACUAGAUGUUGGAUGGCUUAGCCAUUUAGUAUCGAAGCUAACGCGUUAAGCUCUCCGCCUGGGGAGUACGGCCGCAAGGUUAAAACUCAAAGGAAUUGACGGGGCCCGCACAAGCGGUGGAGCAUGUGGUUUAAUUCGAUGCAACGCGAAGAACCUUACCUACCCUUGACAUUCUUGGAAUCCUCUAGAGAUAGAGGAGUGCCUUCGGGAACCAA